GGCAGUGUGGUGUAGUGGGUUGAUUGUCAGACCAUGACUCUGGAGAUCAGGGUUCAGUUCCCCGCUAGGCCA